CACCCCAUCGUGGAGACUCUGAGGCAGAA
rnacentral:piRNA from 1 species